rnacentral:rRNA from 1 species
GACGUAGGGCGCAAGCGUUGUCCGGAUUUAUUGGGCGUAAAGAGCUCGUAGGCGGCUUGCCACGUCUGCCGUGAAAACCAGCAGCUUAACUGUUGGCUUGCGGUUGAUACGGGUUGGCUGGAGUUCGGUAGGGGAGACUGGAAUUCCUGGUGUAGCGGUGAAAUGCGCAGAUAUCAGGAGGAACACCAGUGGCGAAGGCGACUUCCUGGCCUGUCCUUGACGCUGAGGCGCGAAAGCUAGGGGAGCAAACGGG